UACGGAGGGAGCUAGCGUUGCUCGGAAUCACUGGGCGUAAAGCGCACGUAGGCGGACUCUUAAGUCGGUGGUGAAAUCCUGGAGCUCAACUCCAGAACUGCCUUCGAUACUGGGAGUCUCGAGUUCGGGAGAGGUGAGUGGAACUGCGAGUGUAGAGGUGAAAUUCGUAGAUAUUCGGAAGAACACCAGUGGCGAAGGCGGCUCGCUGGACAAGUAUUGACGCUGAGGUGGCGAAAAGCGUGGGGAGCAAACAGG
rnacentral:rRNA from 1 species